CUAGCUUCGUCGGCAGCGUCAGAUGUGUAUAAGAGACAGUAACUGACGCUGAGGCACGAAGGCCAGGGGAGCGAAAGGGAUUAGAUACCCCUGUAGUCCUGGCAGUAAACGGUGCACGCUUGGUGUGCGGGGAAUCGACCCCCUGCGUGCCGGAGCUAACGCGUUAAGCGUGCCGCCUGGGGAGUACGGUCGCAAGAUUAAAACUCAAAGAAAUUGACGGGGACCCGCACAAGCGGUGGAGUAUGUGGCUUAAUUCGAUGCAACGCGAAGAACCUUACCUGGGCUUGACAUGUAAUGAACAACAUGUGAAAGCAUGCGACUCUUCGGAGGCGUUACACAGGUGCUGCAUGGCCGUCGUCAGCUCGUGUCGUGAGAUGUUUGGUUAAGUCCAGCAACGAGCGCAACCCCUGUUGCCAGUUACCAGCACGUGAAGGUGGGGACUCUGGCGAGACUGCCCAGAUCAACUGGGAGGAAGGUGGGGACGACGUCAGGUCAGUAUGGCCCUUAUGCCCAGGGCUGCACACGUACUACAAUGCCCAGUACAGAGGGGGCCGAAGCCGCGAGGCGGAGGAAAUCCUAAAAACUGGGCCCAGUUCGGACUGUAGGCUGCAACCCGCCUACACGAAGCCGGAAUCGCUAGUAAUGGCGCAUCAGCUACGGCGCCGUGAAUACGUUCCCGGGUCUUGUACACACCGCCCGUCACAUCAUGGAAGCCGGUCGCACCCGAAGUAUCUGAAGCCAACCGCAAGGAGGCAGGGUCCUAAGGUGAGACUGGUAACUGGGAUGAAGUCGUAACAAGGUAGCCGUAGGGGAACCUGCGGCUG
rnacentral:rRNA from 1 species